rnacentral:lncRNA from 1 species
CCAGGACAUGCUCAUAAAUAACCAUCAGCACUACAAGAAAGACGUACCAAAUGUGAUUUGGAGGCGCAAGGUGCACAGGAAUGAAGGACAAAGGACAUCAAGGGCCCUGCUGGACUUGGAACCCAGGCCUGCUGGAGCAGAGAUCACAUCACAUUGCCAAGUUCAUUAUUCAGAUUCACAAUUGGGAUCACACAACUAAGGCACCUGCUGUCCUGUGUGGUGGCACACUUAACUUGGAGGCCAGCCUCUUAC